GUUGAACGCUGGCGGCGGGCCUAACACAUGCAAGUAGAACGAGUGGCGGACGGGUGAGGAAGGUCUGGGAAACGGCCUGCUAGAGGGGGAUAACUACUGGAAACGGUAGCUAAUACCGCAUACCAUCAGAUGUGCCCAGAUGGGAGUAGCUGGUUGGUGGGUGAACGGCUCACCAAGGCGACGAUCCCUAGCUGGUCGGAGAGGAUGACCGGCAAAACUGGAACGGAGCAACGGUCCAGCCUCCUACGGGAGGAAGCAGUGGGGAACAUUGCACAAUGGGCGCAAGCCGGAUGCAGCCAUGCCGCGUGUAUGAAGAAGGCCUUCGGGUUGUAAAGUACUUUCAGCGGGGAGGCGGUACCCGCAGAAGAAGCACCGGCUAACUCCGUGCCAGCAGCCGCGGUAAUAC
rnacentral:rRNA from 1 species